GACGAACGCUGGCGGCGUGCCUAAUACAUGCAAGUCGAACGAACUCUGGUAUUGAUUGGUGCUUGCAUCAUGAUUUACAUUUGAGUGAGUGGCGAACUGGUGAGGUAACACGUGGGAAACCUGCCCAGAAGCGGGGGAUAACACCUGGAAAUAGAGUGCUAAUACCGCAUAACAACUUGGACCGCAUGGUCCGAGCUUGAAAGAUGGCUUCGGCUAUC
rnacentral:rRNA from 1 species